GCCUGGGUAGCUCACCUGGUAGAGCAUAUGCCCCAUAUGCAGCUGCCUGGGUUCAACUCUGACCUCAGGCC